GGGGAAUUGUUCGCAAUGGGCGAAAGCCUGACGACGCAACGCCGCGUGGAGGACGAAGAUCUUCGGGUCGUAAACUCCUGUCGAGCGGGAAGAACGCUUCCCGGGUAAAUAUCCUGGGGAAUUGACGGUACCGCUAAAGGAAGCACCGGCUAACUACGUGCCAGCAGCCGCGGUAAUACAGAGGGUGCGAGCGUUGUCCGGAAUCACUGGGCGUAAAGGGCGCGUAGGUGGCCUGAUAAGUAGGGGGUGAAAUCUCGAGGCUCAACCUCGAGGCUGCCUCCUAAACUGUCGGGCUUGAGCAGAGUAGAGGCAGGUGGAAUUCCCGGUGUAGCGGUGGAAUGCGUAGAGAUCGGGAAGAACAUCGGUGGCGAAGGCGGCCUGCUGGGCUCUUGCUGACACUGAUGCGCGACAGCGUGGGGAGCAAAC
rnacentral:rRNA from 1 species